rnacentral:rRNA from 1 species
AGCAGCCGCGGUAAUUCCAGCUCCAAUAGCGUAUAUUAAAGUUGUUGCAGUUAAAAAGCUCGUAGUUGAAUUUCGAGACCGGUUUAUUGGUCGUGCUUUUGUACGUACUGGUAUUAUUGGUUUCUCCUUUCUGACGAAUCAUAAUGCCAUUAAUUUGGUGUUUUGGGGAAUCAGGACUGUUACUUUGAAAAAAUUAGAGUGUUUAAAGCAGGCUCACGCUUGAAUACAUUAGCAUGGAAUAACGAAAUAGGACGUUUGAUUCUAUUUUGUUGGUUUCUAGGAUCGACGUAAUGAUUAAUAGGGAUAGUUAGGGGCAUUAGUAUUCAAUUGUCAGAGGUGAAAAUUCUUGGAUUUAUUGAAGACUAACUACUGCGAAAGCAUUUGCCAAGGAUGUUUUCAUUAAUCAAGAACGAAAGUUAGGGGAUCGAAGACGAUCAGAUACCGUCGUAGUCUUAACCAUAAACUAUAGCCGACUAGGGAAUCGGAUGAUGUUAAUUUUUUAAUG